rnacentral:rRNA from 1 species
UACAGAGGGUGCAAGCGUUUAAUCGGAAUUACUGGGCGUAAAGCGUGCGUAGACGGUUACAUAAGUCGGGUGUGAAAGCCCCGGGCUCAACCUGGGAAUUGCAUUCGAGACUGCGUAGCUAGGGUGCGGAAGAGGGAAGCGGAAUUUCCGGUGUAGCGGUGAAAUGCGUAGAUAUCGGAAGGAACACCAGUGGCGAAAGCGGCUUCCUGGUCCAGCACCGACGUUCAGGCACGAAAGCGUGGGGAGCAAACAGGG